GCCGGGGUGGCCGAGCUAGGUCCAAGGCGCGGGACUCGAGAUCCCGUCCCCGCAAGGGGGCCCGGGUUCAAAUCCCGGCCCCGGCA
rnacentral:tRNA from 4 species